rnacentral:rRNA from 1 species
UACGUAGGGGGCAAGCGUUGUCCGGAAUCAUUGGGCGUAAAGAGCUCGUAGGCGGUGUGUCGCGUCGGCCGUGAAACCUGCAGCUUAACUGUGGGCUUGCGGUCGAUACGGGCAUCACUGGAGUUCGGCAGGGGGAGACUGGAAUUCCUGGUGUAGCGGUGAAAUGCACAGAUAUCAGGAGGAACACCGGUGGCGAAGGCGGGUCUCUGGGCCGAUACUGACGCUGAGGAGCGAAAGCGUGGGGAGCGAACAGG